CAGCAGCCGCGGGAAAACGUAGGGUGCAAGCGUUAAUCGGAAUUACUGGGCGUAAAGCGUGCGCAGGCGGUGUUGUAAGACUGAUGUGAAAUCCCCGGGCUCAACCUGGGAACUGCAUUGGUGACUGCAACGCUGGAGUGCGGCAGAGGGGGAUGGAAUUCCGCGUGUAGCAGUGAAAUGCGUAGAUAUGCGGAGGAACACCGAUGGCGAAGGCAAUCCCCUGGGCCUGCACUGACGCUCAGGUGCGAAAGCGUGGGGAGCAAACAGGAUUAGAUACCCCCGUAGUCCCUGUCUCUUAUAC
rnacentral:rRNA from 1 species